rnacentral:tRNA from 1 species
GGUUUGGUAAUUCAGUUGGUAGAAUACUGGUUUUUUAUUUUUUUAAAAAUCAGAGGGCACAGGUUCAAGUCCUGUUCAAACCA